GCUUUUGUAGUCUAAGGGGAGGACGCUUCGCUGUAAACGAGGAGGUGGCGAGUUAAAUGUCCGGAAGUU
rnacentral:tRNA from 1 species